GGGCCAGUAGGUUGGUCGUGCCACCGGUACGUACUGGUCUCACUGAUUCCUCCUUCCUGAAGAACCGUAAUGCCAUUAAUUUGGUGUUGCGGGAAACAGGACUGUUACUUUGAAAAAAUUAGAGUGUUUAAAGCAAGCUAACGCUUGAAUACAUUAGCAUGGAAUUAUGAAAUAGGACGAUCGAUCCUAUUUUGUUGGUUUCUAGGAUUGACGUA
rnacentral:rRNA from 1 species